rnacentral:rRNA from 1 species
UGGGGAAUAUUGGACAAUGGGCGAAAGCCUGAUCCAGCCAUGCCGCGUGUGUGAAGAAGGUCUUCGGAUUGUAAAGCACUUUAAGUUGGGAGGAAGGGCAGUAAGCGAAUACCUUGCUGUUUUGACGUCACCGACAGAAUAAGCACCGGCUAACUCUGUGCCAGCAGCCGCGGUAAUACAGAGGGUGCAAGCGUUAAUCGGAAUUACUGGGCGUAAAGCGCGCGUAGGUGGUUCGUUAAGUGGAAUGUGAAAGCCCCGGGCUCAACCUUGGAACUGCAACCGAAACUGGCGAGCUAGAGUAGGGCAGAGGGUGGUGGAAUUUCCUGUGUAGCGGUGAAAUGCGUAGAUAUAGGGAGGAACACCAGUGGCGAAGGCGACCACCUGGGCUCAUACUGACGCUGAGGUGCGAAAGCGUGGGGAGCAAACAGG